rnacentral:rRNA from 1 species
CAAGUCGAACGGUAACGCGGGGCAACCUGGCGACGAGUGGCGAACGGGUGAGUAAUAUAUCGGAACGUGCCCUAGAGUGGGGGAUAACUAGUCGAAAGACUAGCUAAUACCGCAUACGAUCUACGGAUGAAAGUGGGGGAUCGCAAGACCUCAUGCUCCUGGAGCGGCCGAUAUCUGAUUAGCUAGUUGGUAGGGUAAAAGCCUACCAAGGCGACGAUCAGUAGCUGGUCUGAGAGGACGACCAGCCACACUGGGACUGAGACACGGCCCAGACUCCUACGUGAGGCAGCAGUGGGGAAUUUUGGACAAUGGGGGCAACCCUGAUCCAGCAAUGCCGCGUGAGUGAAGAAGGCCUUCGGGUUGUAAAGCUCUUUUGUCAGGGAAGAAACGGUCUGGGCUAAUACCCUGGGCUAAUGACGGUACCUGAAGAAUAAGCACCGGCUAACUACGUGCCAGCAGCCGCGGUAAUACGUAGGGUGCGAGCGUUAAUCGGAAUUACUGGGCGUAAAGCGUGCGCAGGCGGUUUGGUAAGACAGAUGUGAAAUCCCCGGGCUUAACCUGGGAAUUGCAUUUGUGACUGCCCGGCUAGAGUGUGUCAGAGGGGGGUAGAAUUCCACGUGUAGCAGUGAAAUGCGUAGAUAUGUGGAGGAAUACCGAUGGCGAAGGCAGCCCCCUGGGAUAACACUGACGCUCAUGCACGAAAGCGUGGGGAGCAAACAGGAUUAGAUACCCUGGUAGUCCACGCCCUAAACGAUGUCUACUAGUUGUCGGGUCUUAAUUGACUUGGUAACGCAGCUAACGCGUGAAGUA